rnacentral:lncRNA from 1 species
UAUUUAUCCAAGUUUUCUCAACUUGUGUUAACAGGUCCGCGUCACACCUGUUGUAGUCAUAAACUACAACCAUUAGCUCACCCAUUGGUCAACCGUCCACCAAAGCCCGCCCUCUGGGCAGGGGAAAUUCUGACAAGCCCCGCCUCUUCUUCAGUACAGGUUCAGGUUGGUCGUGGUGAUCUGGAUCAGUGCGCGCCACCUGUGGGAGAGAGUUAUGUUACUCCGUCGAUCAUCCGUGCCUCACAAGUGUGCUCAUGACGAGGAACUAACCUGUGACAUGUUUGAAAUGUCACCAGACAGCGGAGAACUUAGAUUAUAGUGACAGGAUUUGAUCAAGAGGGAAAACUUGGGUUGCCAUGUCUCUCCUGUGCGUGAGAGUUAAGAAAGCCAAACUCCAAGGACCUCCUGAUCCUCAUCUUGUAUCUCUGAUUUGUGGCCGGUGGUUUUGUUUUGCUCCCUCCUCUGCACUGUCGCGUUCCUCACUUCUCACUGGAGCAUAUGCUACGCUUACAUCCACUCGAACCAAAUACUGCAAUAAAUAAAAACAACCAGAUUUUUGCCUUUAAAAAUGUUGGGUUAUACCACCAUUUAAAAACUUGGGGUUAGGUUUUUUUGUUUUUUCCUUUAAAGAUUAAAUUGAUCAAACGUGAUGACAUUUAUGGACUCUUAUGUAUUAAGACGUAUAUGAUAGUGGAUAGUGGCACUAUAAAUGACCCAUACACUGUUAGUUGUACUAUGUCUGUGGAAUAAAAAAAACCUCAAGACAUGCAUAACUGCAGGUACUGCGCACACGCAAGAAUCCAUCACGUGAACCUGCGUAUACAAACUGCAAAUCCAUCCC